rnacentral:rRNA from 1 species
UACGAAGGGGGCUAGCGUUGCUCGGAAUGACUGGGCGUAAAGGGCGUGUAGGCGGCGGACCGAGUCGGAUGUGAAAUUCCUGGGCUUAACCUGGGGGCUGCAUUCGAGACUGGUUUGCUGGAGUGCGGAAGAGGGUCGUGGAAUUCCCAGUGUAGAGGUGAAAUUCGUAGAUAUUGGGAAGAACACCGGUGGCGAAGGCGGCGACCUGGUCCGUGACUGACGCUGAGGCGCGAAAGCGUGGGGAGCAAACAGG